rnacentral:rRNA from 1 species
CCCGCGUAGGAUUAGCUAGUUGGUGUGGUAAGAGCGCACCAAGGCGACGAUCCUUAGCUGGUCUGAGAGGAUGAUCAGCCACACUGGGACUGAGACACGGCCCAGACUCCUACGGGAGGCAGCAGUGGGGAAUAUUGGACAAUGGGCGAAAGCCUGAUCCAGCAAUGCCGCGUGAGUGAUGAAGGCCUUAGGGUUGUAAAGCUCUUUUACCCGGGAUGAUAAUGACAGUACCGGGAGAAUAAGCUCCGGCUAACUCC